AACCCCAUGUGAACUUAUACCAUUUACAACCGUUGCUUCGGCGGGUUCUCGCCCCGGGCUUUACACCCCGGAACCAGGCGGCCCGCCGGGGGACCCAAACUCUAGAUUUAUAUUUUAGCAUGUCUGAGUGGAAUCAUUACAAAAUGAAUCAAAACUUUCAACAACGGAUCUCUUGGUUCUGGCAUCGAUGAAGAACGCAGCGAAAUGCGAUAAGUAAUGUGAAUUGCAGAAUUCAGUGAAUCAUCGAAUCUUUGAACGCACAUUGCGCCCGCCAGUAUUCUGGCGGGCAUGCCUGUUCGAGCGUCAUUUCAACCCUCAAGCCCCAGCGGUUUGGUGUUGGGGACCGGCGAGUACAGAGGCUUUGGGGACUUGUCCCCCUUCCCUCGGCGCCGCCCCCGAAAUGAAUUGGCGGUCUCGUCGCGGCCUCCUCUGCGUAGUAGCACAACCUCGCAUCAGGAGCGCGGCGCGGCCACUGCCGUAAAACGCCCAACUUUUUUUAAGAGUUGACCUCGAAUCAGGUAGGAAUACCCGCUGAACUUAAGCAUAUCAAA
rnacentral:rRNA from 1 species